CCUACGGGAGGCAGCAGUGGGGGAUAUUGCACAAUGGGGGAAACCCUGAUGCAGCGACGCCGCGUGGGUGAAGAAGUAUUUCGGUAUGUAAAGCCCUAUCAGCAGGGAAGAAAGAAGACGGUACCUGACUAAGAAGCCCCGGCUAACUACGUGCUAGCAGCCGCGGUAAUACGUAGGGGGCGAGCGUUAUCCGGAUUCACUGGGUGUAAAGGGAGCGUAGACGGCCGUGCAAGCCAGGAGUGAAAGCCCGGGGCCCAACCCCGGGACUGCUCUUGGAACUGUGCGGCUGGAGUGCGGGAGGGGCAGGCGGAAUUCCUGGUGUAGCGGUGAAAUGCGUAGAGAUCAGGAGGAACACCGGCGGCGAAGGCGGCCUGCUGGACCGCGACUGACGUUGAGGCUCGAAAGCGUGGGGAGCGAACAGGAUUAGAUACCCCAGUAGUC
rnacentral:rRNA from 1 species